ACCCGCUGAACUUAAGCAUAUCAAUAAGCGGAGGAAAAGAAACCAACAGGGAUUGCCCUAGUAACGGCGAGUGAAGCGGCAACAGCUCAAAUUUGAAAUCUGGCGUCUUUGGCGUCCGAGUUGUAAUUUGCAGAGGGCGCUUUGGCAUUGGCAGCGGUCCAAGUUCCUUGGAACAGGACGUCACAGAGGGUGAGAAUCCCGUACGUGGUCGCUAGCCUUUACCGUGUAAAGCCCCUUCGACGAGUCGAGUUGUUUGGGAAUGCAGCUCUAAAUGGGAGGUAAAUUUCUUCUAAAGCUAAAUACUGGCCAGAGACCGAUAGCGCACAAGUAGAGUGAUCGAAAGAUGAAAAGCACUUUGAAAAGAGAGUUAAACAGUAUGUGAAAUUGUUGAAAGGGAAGCGCUGGCAACCAGACUCGUGCGCGGGGUUCCCCCUUGCUUCUGCUUGGGUUAUUUCCCCGUGUCCGGGCCAUCAUCAGUUUUGGGGGCCGGUUAAAGGUCUUGGGAAUGUAUCUACUCCUUCGGGGGUAGACUUAUAGCCCAGGGCGUCAUGCGGCCACCCGGGACUGAGGAACGCGCUUCGGCGAGGAUGAUGGCGUAAUGGUUGU
rnacentral:rRNA from 1 species